GGCGUUAAGUUGCAGGGUAUAGACCCGAAACCCGGUGAUCUAGCCAUGGGCAGGUUGAAGGUUGGGUAACACUAACUGGAGGACCGAACCGACUAAUGUUGAAAAAUUAGCGGAUGACUUGUGGCUGGGGGUGAAAGGCCAAUCAAACCGGGAGAUAGCUGGUUCUCCCCGAAAGCUAUUUAGGUAGCGCCUCGUGAAUUCAUCUCCGGGGGUAGAGCACUGUUUCGGCAAGGGGGUCAUCCCGACUUACCAACCCGAUGCAAACUGCGAAUACCGGAGAAUGUUAUCACGGGAGACACACGGCGGGUGCUAACGUCCGUCGUGAAGAGGGAAACAACCCAGACCGCCAGCUAAGGUCCCAAAGUCAUGGUUAAGUGGGAAACGAUGUGGGAAGGCCCAGACAGCCAGGAUGUUGGCUUAGAAGCAGCCAUCAUUUAAAGAAAGCGUAAUAGCUCACUGGUCGAGUCGGCCUGCGCGGAAGAUGUAACGGGGCUAAACCAUGCACCGAAGCUGCGGCAGCGACGCUUAUGCGUUGUUGGGUAGGGGAGCGUUCUGUAAGCCUGCGAAGGUGUGCUGUGAGGCAUGCUGGAGGUAUCAGAAGUGCGAAUGCUGACAUAAGUAACGAUAAAGCGGGUGAAAAGCCCGCUCGCCGGAAGACCAAGGGUUCCUGUCCAACGUUAAUCGGGGCAGGGUGAGUCGACCCCUAAGGCGAGGCCGAAAGGCGUAGUCGAUGGGAA
rnacentral:rRNA from 1 species